CAAACACACCCUUCGCGCCGCGUUGCUUUGCUCCCCUUGGUAGGAACCAUCCAUGUCAGGCCUGGUGGUGAAGCAUAGGUAAAAAACAACUACUGCAGAAGUGAAAGGGGGAAAUGAUAUAAUAAUGCAGAUUUAAAAGAAACAAAAAAG
rnacentral:lncRNA from 1 species